rnacentral:rRNA from 1 species
AGCAGCCGCGGUAAUUCCAGCUCCAAUAGCGUAUAUUAAAGUUGUUGCAGUUAAAAAGCUCGUAGUUGAAUUUCGGGGUCUGUCCAUCGGUCGGGCUUUUUCGGUCCGCACUGUUGCGAUGGAUUCCUACCUUCUGAAUAACCGAUUUGCCAUUAAUUUGGUGGGUCGGGGAAGCAGGACUGUUACCUUGAAAAAUUAGAGUGCUCAAAGCAGGCUAGUGCCUGAAUACAUUAGCAUGGAAUAAUAAAAUAGGACGGCAUGGUUCUAUUUUGUUGGUUUCUAGGAUCACCGUAAUGAUUAAUAGGGAUAGUUGGGGGCAUUAGUAUUCAAUUGUCAGAGGUGAAAUUCUUGGAUUUAUUGAAGACUAACUACUGCGAAAGCAUUUGCCAAGGAUGUUUUCAUUAAUCAAGAACGAAAGUUAGGGGAUCGAAGACGAUCAGAUACCGUCGU